ACGGGAGGCAGCAGUGGGGAAUAUUGCACAAUGGGCGCAAGCCUGAUGCAGCGAUGCCGCGUGAGGGAAGAAGGUUUUCGGAUUGUAAACCUCUGUCAUCGGGGACGAUAACGACUGUACCCGAGAAGGAAGCUCCGGCUAACUACGUGCCAGCAGCCGCGGUAAUACGUAGGGAGCGAGCGUUAUCCGGAAUUACUGGGUGUAAAGGGAGUGUAGGCGGGACUGUAAGUCAGAUGUGAAAUAUGCCGGCUCAACUGGCAGACUGCAUUUGAAACUGCGGUUCUUGAGUGAAGUAGAGGUAAGCGGAAUUCCUAGUGUAGCGGUGAAAUGCGUAGAUAUUAGGAGGAACACCAGUGGCGAAGGCGGCUUUCUGGACUGUAACUGACGCUGAGGUACGAAAGUGUGGGUAGCGAACAGGAUUAGAUACCCUGGUA
rnacentral:rRNA from 1 species